CUACGAAGGGAGCUAGCGUUGUUCGGAAUUACUGGGCGUAAAGCGCACGUAGGCGGAUUGAUCAGUUGGGGGUGAAAUCCCAGGGCUUAACCCUGGAACUGCCUCCAAUACUGUCAGUCUUGAGUUCGGGAGAGGUGAGUGGAAUUCCUAGUGUAGAGGUGAAAUUCGUAGAUAUUAGGAAGAACACCAGUGGCGAAGGCGGCUCACUGGCCCGAUACUGACGCUGAGGCGCGAAAGCGUGGGGAGCAAACAGGAUUAGAAACCCCAGUAGUCC
rnacentral:rRNA from 1 species